rnacentral:rRNA from 1 species
AGGGUGUAAACGCUGCAGACUUGGUGUUGGAGGCCCUUUGGGGGCAUUCAGUGCCGGAGAGAAGUUGUUAAGUCUGCUACUUGGGGAGUACGUCCGCAAGGAUGAAACUUAAAGGAAUUGGCGGGGGAGCACCGCAACGGGAGGAGCGUGCGGUUUAAUUGGAUUCAACACCGUAAACUCACCAGGGAAGACUGUUACAUGAAGGUCGAGAUGAAGGUUUACAUGACUAGCUGAGAGGAGGUGCAUGGCGUCAGUGACU